rnacentral:rRNA from 1 species
UACAGAGGGGGCGAGCGUUGUUCGGAAUUACUGGGCGUAAAGGGCGCGUAGGCGGCUUCUUAAGUCAGGGGUGAAAUCCUGGAGCUCAACUCCAGAACUGCCUUUGAUACUGAGGAGCUCGAGUCCGGGAGAGGUGAGUGGAACUCCGAGUGUAGAGGUGAAAUUCGUAGAUAUUCGGAAGAACACCAGUGGCGAAGGCGGCUCACUGGCCCGGUACUGACGCUGAGGUGCGAAAGCGUGGGGAGCAAAC